rnacentral:rRNA from 1 species
AUUGAACGCUGGCGGCAGGCUUAACACAUGCAAGUCGAGCGGAGUGAUGGUGCUUGCACUAUUACUUAGCGGCGGACGGGUGAGUAAUGCUUAGGAAUCUGCCAUUUAGUGGGUGACAACAUUCCGAAAGGACUGCUAAUACAGCAUACGUCCUACGGGAGAAAGCAGGGGAUCUUCGACCUUGCGCUAAAUGAUGAGCCUAAGUCUGAUUAGCUAGUUGGUGGGGUAAAGGCCUACCAAGGCGACGAUCUGAAGCGGGUCUGAGAGGAUGAUCCGACACACUGGGACAGAAACACGGCCCCGACUACUACGGGAGGCGGCAGUGGGGAAUAUUCGACAAUGGGCAGAAGCCUGAUCCAGCAAUACCUCGUGUGUGAAGAAGGCGUUUUGGUUGUAAAGCACUUUAAGCGAGGAGGAGGCUCUCCUAGUUAAUACCUAGGAAGAGUGGACGUUACUCGCAGAAUAAGCACCGGCUAACUCUGUGCCAGCCGCCGCGGUAAUAC